ensembl:snRNA LOC120098741 U5 spliceosomal RNA
ACACUCUGGUUUCUCUUCAGAUCGUAUAAAUCUUUCGCCUUUUACUAAAGAUUUCCGUGGAGAGGAACAACUGUGAGUCUUAACCCAAUUUUUUUUUUUUUUUGGUUCUUUUUUUCGGAGCUG